rnacentral:rRNA from 1 species
ACUCCUACGGGAGGCAGCAGUAGGGAAUCUUCCACAAUGGGCGCAAGCCUGAUGGAGCAACACCGCGUGAGUGAAGAAGGGUUUCGGCUCGUAAAGCUCUGUUGUUAAAGAAGAACACGUAUGAGAGUAACUGUUCAUACGUUGACGGUAUUUAACCAGAAAGUCACGGCUAACUACGUGCCAGCAGCCGCGGUAAUACGUAGGUGGCAAGCGUUAUCCGGAUUUAUUGGGCGUAAAGAGAGUGCAGGCGGUUUUCUAAGUCUGAUGUGAAAGCCUUCGGCUUAACCGGAGAAGUGCAUCGGAAACUGGAUAACUUGAGUGCAGAAGAGGGUAGUGGAACUCCAUGUGUAGCGGUGGAAUGCGUAGAUAUAUGGAAGAACACCAGUGGCGAAGGCGGCUACCUGGUCUGCAACUGACGCUGAGACUCGAAAGCAUGGGUAGCGAACAGGAUUAGAUACCCUGGUAGGAAAGCC